rnacentral:rRNA from 1 species
GAUGAACGCUGGCGGCGUGCCUAAUACAUGCGAGUAGAACGCUGAAGGAGGAGCUUGCUCUUCUGGAUGAGUUGCGAACGGGUGAGUAACGCGUAGGUAACCUGCCUGGUAGCGGGGGAUAACUAUUGGAAACGAUAGCUAAUACCGCAUGACAACAGUUAUUGCAUGAUAACUGUUUAAAAGGGGCAACUGCUCCACUACCAGAUGGACCUGCGUUGUAUUAGCUAGUUGGUGAGGUAACGGCUCACCAAGGCGACGAUACAUAGCCGACCUGAGAGGGGGAUCGGCCACACUGGGACUGAGACACGGCCCAGACUCCUACGGGAGGCAGCAGUAGGGAAUCUUCGGCAAUGGACGGAAGUCUGACCGAGCAACGCCGCGUGAGUGAAGAAGGUUUUCGGAUCGUAAAGCUCUGUUGUAAGAGAAGAACGAGUGUGAGAGUGGAAAGUUCACACUGUGACGGUAUCUUACCAGAAAGGGACGGCUAACUACGUG